AAAGAAUUAGUUUAUUAAAACAUUAGUCUUCAAAACUAAAGAUAUUAGAUAUAGUAUUCUUUG
rnacentral:tRNA from 1 species